rnacentral:lncRNA from 1 species
CCAAGUUCAACAAGGUCAAACAAAGUUUGACAAAAAAUUUCAGCAUUUUUAAAAGUCAGAAACUAUUUUUAAUCAAUUAAAUAUGAAUAAAAAUAACCUAAUUGAACUAAAAUCUCAAAUAAAUCUCAAAUCAAUUAAAAAAUUGAUGAGAAUAUUUUUCAUAGAUUCAUCAUCAUUCAAAUAGGUUAGGAAAAUAUUUUUGUAUUUUUUGAAUAUCAAGAACUAUUUAAAAU